rnacentral:rRNA from 1 species
AUGGCUUCCGACGGCGUCAUCACGCACCGCAGCGUCGAGGUCAACGGCGUGCGCCUGCACGUCGCGGAGGCCGGCCCGGCGGGCGCGCCCGUGGUGCUGCUGCUGCACGGCUUCCCGGAGCUGUGGUACACCUGGCGGCACCAGAUGCCCGCGCUGGCCGCGGCCGGUUACCGCGCCGUCGCCCCCGACAUGCCUGGCUACGGCGACUCCGAGGCGCCCUCCGCCGGCCCGGACCAGUACACCGCGCUGCAUAUCGUCGGCGACCUUGUUGCGCUCAUCGACUCCCUCGGCCAGGAGCAGGUCUUCGUGGUGGCGCAUGACUGGGGCGCCAUAACAGCCUGGAGCCUGUGCCAGUUUCGGCCUGACCGGGUGAAGGCUCUGGUCGCCUUGAGCGUCCCCUUCACCCCUCGGAGCCCCGCGGUGAAGCCCGUCGACGCCGUCAGGGCUCUCUACGGCGACGACUUCUACAUCUGCAGCUUCCAGAAAGUUUUCGCUGAUCGAAGUGCUAGCCCACUGUUCAUCCCGAAGAGCGGGUGGGGCUCACCAGAUGAUGAGGUGCCCUUGCCGAGCUGGAUCACAGAUGAGGACGUCAAGUACUACACGACCCAGUUUGACAAGUCUGGUUUCACCGGAGGAUUCAACUACUACCGUGCCCUGAAUAAGACAUGGGAGUUAACUUCGCCAUGGACGGGAGCUGAGAUAAUGGUACCAACGAAGUUCAUAGUUGGCGACUUAGAUCUAACAUACAAUAUUGCGGGCGCAAAAGAUUUCAUUAACAAAGGUGGCUUCAAGAAGUUUGUUCCAUUACUUGAUGGCGUGGUGAUAAUGAAAGAUGUUGGGCAUUUCAUAAAUGAAGAAAAGCCAGAGGAAAUUAGUGCGCUCAUAAUCAGCUUCAUAAAGAAAUUCAACUAA